AGGACGAACGCUGGCGGCGUGCUUAACACAUGCAAGUCGAGCGGAAAGGCCCUUCGGGGUACUCGAGCGGCGAACGGGUGAGUAACACGUGAGUAACCUGCCCUAGGCUUUGGGAUAACCCUCGGAAACGGGGGCUAAUACCGAAUAUUCAUUUCCGGCGGCAUCGCUGGUGGUGGAAAGUUUUUCGGCCUGGGAUGAGCUCGCGGCCUAUCAGCUUGUUGGUGGGGUGAUGGCCUACCAAGGCGACGACGGGUAGCCGGCCUGGAGAGGGCGACCGGCCACACUGGGACUGAGACACGGCCCAGACUCCUACGGGAGGCAGCAGUGGGGAAUAUUGCACAAUGGGCGAAGCCUGAUGCAGCGACGCCGCGUGAGGGAUGGAAGGCCUUCGGUUGUAAACCUCUUUCGACAGGGACGAAGCGCAAGUGACGGUACCCUGGACGAAGAAGACCACCGGCCAACGUACGUGCCAGUACGCCGUC
rnacentral:rRNA from 1 species